rnacentral:rRNA from 1 species
UACAGAGGGUGCGAGCGUUAAUCGGAAUUACUGGGCGUAAAGAGCGCGUAGGCGGUCGUGUAAGUCAGAUGUGAAAGACCUUGGCUCAACCAGGGAACUGCAUUUGAUACUGCAUAACUAGAGUAUGGUAGAGGAAAGUGGAAUUUCCGGUGUAGCGGUGAAAUGCGUAGAUACCGGAAGGAACACCAGUGGCGAAGGCGACUUUCUGGACCAAUACUGACGCUGAGGCGCGAAAGCAUGGUAGCAAACUGG